AAAGAAGCUAAAAGAAAAAGUAGAAUCAUUGGAUAGCCAGUGGGCGCAAGUUGUCUUGAAAAACAGAAAUGUUGGCCGGAUAAUUGAUUCUGCCCGUAUUGCAGUGCGGAAAUUUGAGUCUAUAGGCUACAAGCUCAUUUUAUUUAUUGGCAAAAAAGACAAGGAUUCACAUAAGUGGGUAGCAGAUGUUAUUACCCAUUUGGACCCCACUUCUACUACAAGAAAUUUCCCGGAGAAGAUGCAGAGGGCUUAUGAAUUUAAAUUAUGAAUACUGUCUAAGGGAACCUCCACACCAGUGCACCCCAAUACCCCCACAGAACAGCAGGUUGUGCAGUCCAAGAAUGCCACCAAGGAGCAUUGUGCCGACAAACAGACCCACAUCAAAGAGCACGCAGAGAUCCCCAGUGAAGAACAGGCAGAGACCCUGAUCAACAAGAAAGCAGAGAGCCUCGCCAAGGAGCAGCCUGAGCUGACCACCCAGGAGCAUCAAGCUUCUAGGCUCCUCGAGGAGCACCCAAAGAGCCUUUCAGACGAGCAGACAGACUGAUUUAGUUCCCAAUCUUGUUCCUUUAUCUCCUUCUUCUGUUCCAUGCUCCCAGUCUUUCCAAAAAAAGAAGAGAGACAGAAGCACCUCACAAACAACCUCUCCACCACCUUUUAAACCCACAGACCAGCCAUCUCUGCAGUCUCUUCAUCCACCUGCUAGCCACGCGAUCUCCCAGUCCUCAAGUCAGGGUGGCCAACAUGAAAAUAAGAAGAGAAAGAGCUAUCGAAGAUGUAGUAGGCAGAAGGUGUUCCAGUUUGAAGCAGUCACUGAGAGCAGGAUAAAUGAGGGGAACGCAGAAGUAAAAGUGUGUUGCUUGCCUUGCUCUGUUUGUGGGAAAAUCUGGGAUGACACCACUUUGCCAUGCCAGAUGUGCCACCUCCUUCAGCCACUGAGGAAGUCUUUUUAUGAUGUUGUGAUGAUUGUUUUUCCAUGUUACAAACAAGUAACAUAUAAUGUCUGAAAACUGCAGUUGUGUACUGUCUACAAGGAACACUUUCAGAAAUAUGUGGAACCAAAGGUCCAUACAUCCAGAUGUCACAUUGAUCUUCUCUGUUCACAGACAGGAUAUGUUCAUUUUCAGCAGUUUGAUUGUUUAGAAAUGUUAGACAAAUAUUUAUACUUGUUUAAAUGCAUUGUGUUACGUAAAAAAAGACUUUAUCUUAUGUUGUUAACUACAAUAGUAGUUCUGUGUUCUUAACUUGAAUGUUUUUGUACAGCAUUUAUCUUUGCUACAUUCUUUAAAAAGUGAGUGUAGACUGUUAACAUUGUUACAGUGAAUUUGACCCGAAGCUAGCAACUGAA